UAGAACAUUUAAAUAGCAUUAUUAAAUCAGGUUAUUUAAAUUAGUUAAUCAUUUUAUCGACGCUUUUUGUUUCUUCACGGACAUAUUUCUGGUUGUUCCAAAACAUUCAGUCAGUGGGCGGAGCUUGUGUCGAAACGUGUUCUCCUGUGACAUUUAAGAUCCUCAGAUCAAUGGGCUGUGUGUCUGAAUCUCAGUUCAGGGACGUGCUUGGAAAGAUGCAUGCCGAAAUCGACGCCAGAGUCAUAAAUUUAAAUCAGCAGUGAGAGCAGCUACCAUUAGGGAGAUAGAUGCACCACUACAUCAACAUGUUUAUCAUCUGCAGGAGUCAUUCCUGGCCCCAGAGUUUUUACAGUUGGUAAAAUACUGUACUUCAAGUGAUGCAACCACGGAAGGAUUAAUGAAACUCAUCCAAACAGAGGCAGGUGCCUCUGAGUGAGACGAAGUGUGUGGAAGUGGAGCAUCACGUAACUGAAGCUCUGCUUCACAGAGGCCAGCACAUGCACGAGCUCUGCCCAUCUCCUCAGGCACACGCUGGACCUGAUCACAUGGAUGCAAGCUUCACAUGAGAGGAACAAACUCUGCCCUAUGUGUGGGUUAAUAUCAGUUUCGUCAUAGUCCGACUCCAUCUCAAUCUUCACCUGGGGCACGGGGCAGGACAUCCCUCUGGUCAUCGGCAUCGCCGGAGAUGAUGGACAGGAGAUCUUCAGGUGCAGAGUGAUGCUGUGGAAUGGCAACUUCCAGUUACAAGAGUGAGGAGGAGAAAGAGGAGAGGGCUAUGAGAGGAAAGAGGAACAGCUGAGGAGCAGUCUGUAUUAAGAUGUUAGUUGCAGGUGACCGCACAAGUGCUGCAGGGGAAAGAUCUGGGAUAAGGACACCCAAAGCAGGAGAAAGGUUCAGUAUGCUUGUCCUGGGUUAAGGAGAUAAUUAAAGUGUUUAAAUGCGAUAAAGACUAGGGCAACAAUGGUAGACCUUAACAACAAGGUAGAACAUUAACAUUAGUUAAUCCAUUAGUAAUUAUGAAAUAAUUCUGGUUUAUGGUUAAUGUUCAUUUCUAAUUUAGACAUUUAUAAUAUAUAUUUUGCCAUUCCUGUUAAAAAUAAUAAUAUAAUAUAAAUUGUAAUACAUUAUAUUUUUAAUAAUAUAUAUAUAUAUAUAAUUCAAAAUAUAUUUCAAAUAUAAUUUAUUCCUGUGCUGGAAAAGUUCAGAAAUCAUAUUAGAUUAUUUAUUAAAAUAUUAAACGUUUUUGUGGAUACUGUGCUACAUUUUUCAAGAUUUUUUUGAUAAGAAAAAUUUAAUUUUACAAAUACUUUUGUUUUAAAUUUAUUUUAGUUUUUUGUAACAAUGUGAAAGUCUUUACUAUACAUUUGAAACUGUUAAAUCUUAAGUAUGACUUCUUACUAACCCUAUAUAUAUUUUCUAUUUAUAUAAAAAUAAUAUAUAGUAAUAGUAUAAUUAUAAAGUAUUAUGAUCGUUAACAGUUAACAAUAGCUAUAAUGUCUAAUAUGAUAAUAAUCCAAAUGAUGCCUAAUGCAAUAACUAAUGUGAACAAAUUGAACCUUUGUUAAAGUGAACACUUCAUCCAAACCAUGCCCUCUGAACAGCAAUGCAGACAUGAAACCAGAAACCAAGCAGAUUUUACAUCAGAAUGAUACAGAGGCACACAUUUGGAUAAGUAUGGUUGUGAAUAUAAUUUCAGAGGAACCAGGCUGGGGGAAAAAACCUAGAAAAAUCUAGUACAAGCAAUUCUGUAGAAGCACUCUUAUUGAAACCACAAUUAUACAGGGAAAGAAACAACCAAAAUUCCUUAAGAGAACUAAUAUGCAUUGUUACAUUAUGCACUUUAUAGCUACUGAAAAUGUAUUCUAGAAAGCUUGCAAAAAGUAAUUCAAAUAUGAAUCCCUGGCUCCUUUCCAAGUAUUUAUAUAAACAAACUGUUCCCACAUCUAAUUAUUAAAAGUUCAGUAAUUAUUAUUUAUGUGUGCUGUUCCUUUAGGUGUGAACAUGUAAGCAAAAGAAAUAAUACAUAUGCAUAACACCAAAAAAUACACUUUUUUUAUAUAAAAGCAUGCAGAGUAAAAUACUGGUGGUUGCAUGAAAACAAUUCUAUCUGCAUUGCUUCAAAGCGCAUGGCAAGGGCAAUGAAAAGAUAGCUAAAAACCCAUAUGCAAGGUUUCGCAUGACCUUAUUUAUUGGUCUUAGCAGUUACACAUUUAAUAUUCUCAACUAUGUCAUCUAUUUCUACUGAUUGUACAUAGGAACGCAAUCUUUAGUAUUAUUAAAUGUAGUGGAGGUGCGUAUUGUAAAGGAAAUCAGUAGUGACUGCCUGGUUGGCAUCGUGCCGCCCACUCUGAGUUGGAGUCUGGCGCCUGUAAGAGGUCACGGUAGGGAACGUGUAGUUUGAGCACACAGUACCUGCGAUCCAAGUCCGAAUCACUGGGGGAGCAGUUUGUAUAGGGGUUAUACUUGUCCUAUGGGUCAAAGAACGGAUGAAGAUUAGAAUGUGUCAUGAUUGUCUGAGGUUUUCCACCAGAAGGUGGCACCAGAGAAACACAAUACAGCAAUGUGGAUGUCAAAAAUGAUUUAAAUAGAUCCAUUUUUACGUGACUUAAGUCAAAUAAAACUUCUCUCAUUACAACGCCAGCAGCCUGCAUCGUACUACUAAAACACUUACGUCUUCACUGUCAUUCCCUCCUUUGCCUUUCUUUUUGUCUUUCUUGGUGUUCUUCUUUUCCUCCUUUUUCUUCUUUUUCUUAUCAGGCAGGAUAUCAUCCAGCCAUGCCAGAUCGUGUUGAGAGAAAACCAUGUCCAACAUCUUUCGUAUCACCAUAAGACCAAGUAUCUGGGGUAUCGAGGGGGGAAAAACUUUUUUUUGUAUGCUUAAUGCAUUGUUAAUAUUUAUUAUUCUUGAGGUAAACCUUGAGUUAAAAUACAAGUUAAAAUCAUACAAUAUACUGAAGUACACUGAUCCCUUACUGAAUAGAUUAUAUUCAGAAAGCUUUAUGGAAACUUAAUGUAGUUUUGACUCAUGAUAUACAUUUAUGUUUUUGUGUGGCAAUAUAAAAUGUUAUCAUACCAUGACAGGGAAGAUGAUAGCGAGGAAGGUGGAUUUGAGGAUCCAGAGAACAGCUAAGCACACAAUCUGCAGCAGUGUGAACAGGUGGACUCUUCUCAGUGGAACGUGACGCAGAUAAGGGAAAUCUGGCUGGUGUUUUGCUGGCAUCAUAAUCAGUUUGAUCCUGUCCCAGAACUAUAAAAGACAGGAUGUUUAAUUAGAUACGCAGUGGACAAAAAAGAAAAAUCUGUCAAUAUUUACUCACUCUCAUGUCAUUUCAAACCCAAGUGUCUCUUUUCCAUCUAAUAAAAGUGCUUGAGGUCCAUCA